rnacentral:rRNA from 1 species
GACGAACGCUGGCGGCGUGCUUAACACAUGCAAGUCGAGCGGUAAGGCCCUUUCGGGGGUACGACGAGCGGCGAACGGGUGAGUAACACGUGGGUGACCUGCCUUUAGCUCUGGGAUAAGCCUGGGAAACUGGGUCUAAUACCGGAUAUGACCCUAUGGCGCAUGUUGUGGGGUGGAAAGCCUUGUGCGGCUAGGGAUGGGCCCGCGGCCUAUCAGCUUGUUGGUGGGGUGAUGGCCACCAAGGCGACGACGGGUAGCCGGCCUGAGAGGGCGACCGGCCACACUGGGGACUGAGACACGGCCCAGACUCCUACGGGAGGCAGCAGUGGGGAAUCUUGCGCAAUGGGCGAAAGCCUGACGCAGCGACGCCGCGUGAGGGAUGACGGCCUG